GUGGCCACGGAUCACCUCCUUACCAAAGCCUGAUGUAGGUUAUGUGCAGUGUCCACCACAUUUUGUGAUAAAAAUAAUAAUGAGAAAUCCCUCAUUAAGCUUGUAGGUCUGCUGGUUUCAUCGUGCCCCUGAUCAAGGUGAGGUGGGGGUUUCUCGGAUUUCCAGUCCUACCAAAAUCUUUCCCAUGCGACACUUGACCUUUCCCUCGAAUACUGGAGUAUCCAAUCCCCUUGAGCACCCCAUGCCUAUACUGAUUGACUCUUUGAUCACCGGUACUCUUAAUUAUUGCUUUUCGCUCUCUGCGGCUAUUAUUGAGCUGAAACAGCCCCUGAUUUGCUCAAAUGUGGUCCGCUGUGCCUUACCGUAUCGCUCCUUGCUAUAAUGAGAUGUGAUUUGACUAUCUCAGAGUCUCUCAAAUAAAUUAUGCUCUAAAGACACCAUCAACCCUUGAAAUUUGAAGGCUAAGCGACUACGGUAUAUCUCCUGGCAGUACUGAAAUGUGAUUUGGCUGUAUCAGAGUCUCUCAAAUAAUCGCAGCGCGAAAGUGACUUGAUGUAUCAAAGACACCUUCGGGUUGUGAGGUUAAGCGACUAAGCGUACACGGUGGAUGCCUUGGCA
rnacentral:misc_RNA from 1 species